CAGUCGCCGCGGGAAUACGAAGGGUGCAAGCGUUACUCGGAAUUACUGGGCGUAAAGCGUGCGUAGGUGGUGGUUUAAGUCCGUUGUGAAAGCCCUGGGCUCAACCUGGGAAUUGCAGUGGAUACUGGGUCACUAGAGUGUGGUAGAGGAUAGUGGAAUUUCCGGUGUAGCAGUGAAAUGCGUAGAGAUCGGAAGGAACAUCUGUGGCGAAGGCGACUAUCUGGGCCAACACUGACACUAAGGCACGAAAGCGUGGGGAGCAAACAGGAUUAGAUACCCCCGUAGUCCCUGUCUCUUAUAA
rnacentral:rRNA from 1 species